UGGGGAAUAUUGGGCAAUGGGGGAAACCCUGACCCAGCAACGCCGCGUGAAGGGAUGAAGUAUUUCGGUAUGUAAACUUCGAAAGAAUAGGAAGAAUAAAUGACGGUACUAUUUAUAAGGUCCGGCUAACUACGUGCCAGCAGCCGCGGUAAUACGUAGGGACCAAGCGUUGUUCGGAUUUACUGGGCGUAAAGGGCGCGUAGGCGGCAUGACAAGUCACUUGUGAAAUCUCUGGGCUUAACCCAGAACGGCCAAGUGAUACUGUCGCGCUAGAGUGCAGAAGGGGCAAUCGGAAUUCUUGGUGUAGCGGUGAAAUGCGUAGAUAUCAAGAGGAACACCUGAGGUGAAGACGGGUUGCUGGGCUGACACUGACGCUGAGGCGCGAAAGCCAGGGGAGCAAACGGGAUUAGAUACCCCUGUAGUCCCUGAGCGGGCUGGCAAGGCGCAU
rnacentral:rRNA from 1 species